rnacentral:rRNA from 1 species
GCGCGAAACCUUUACAAUGCACGCAAGUGUGAUAAGGGAAUCCAAAGUGCUUUGCUUUGCAAGGCUUUUGCCAAAUGUAAAUAAUUUGGCGAAUAAGCGGUGGGAAAGACUGGUGCCAGCCGCCGCGGUAACACCAGCGCCGCAAGUGGCAAUCCUUUUUAUUUGGCCUAAAGCGUCCGUAGCUGGUUAAGUAAAUCUUUUGUGAAAUUGUUCAGCUCAACUGAACAGCGUGCAGGAGACACUGCUUAGCUAGGGACCGGGAGGAGUCAGAGAUAUGUCGUGGGGAGCGGUAAAAUGCUAUAAUCCUCGAUAGAUCACCUGUGGCGAAGGCGUCUGACUAGAACGGGUCCGACAGUGAGGGACGAAAGCCAGGGGAGCAAACCGGAUUAGAUACCCGAGUAGUCCUGGCCGUAAACGCUGUGAGUUAGGUGUUGCGUAAUCUCCGCGAUUACGCAGUGUCGAAGCGAAGGUGUUAAACUCACCGCCUGGGAAGUAUGGUCGCAAGACUGAAACUUAAAGGAAUUGG